UGUUUCAUCUUAGUAAGGCCUGUGACACAGGAGGCUUGACUUCAUUUGAAUGUUGUAUCGCUUGAGUUAUUGUUUCACAUAGCUUAAAUUUCUGUCCCCCAGCCCAUAUGUCUUCUGACCUUUACAGGCCUUAGAACGUGCUUGCUAAACACAACCAAACCAGAAUGAGGAGUGGUGGAGUUCAAGAGACUCAGGAACGUAAGAGGAAUGCACAGCACAGCCCGUUCAUGCCAAAGAUGCCCUGCCAUUUUCAUCCAAGAGGCCAGAUGGUCCCUGGCCUUUGAACAGGACUAGACCCAGAGACCACCCACAUUCAAUGCAAAUAAACUGCAACAUCUACAUUGAUCCUACUCCAAGACCCCCUGGGAUCAGAUCUUUGGACUGUGCCAGAUCAACCAUACUGCUAGCUUCUCUCUUCUAGGUCCCUGAACACGCACAGACACUGUCCCAUGGAAAUGGUUGGGCAAUAGGAGCCACGAAGUAAAACAGCCACUCCCCGCCCAGUCAGCUGCCCAUCAGCUGUCCACCGCCCACAAGAGGGGAUGUCAUGCAACUGGGGGCCCAGCCCCUCAUUCCUGACAGACCAGAGAGCCAGGGCCCCAGGCCCUCUCCCUCCCACCUCCCCAGCUUAGGAGCAGUGACAGUACCCAGUGAGGAACUCCCAGUAAACUAUUCAUCUCUGCCAGUUCCGGGCCCCGCUGAUGGACAAGGCCCAUGUUAGAGCUCUGAGACUUAGGUCAGACUCCAGAGGGGCCAGCACUAGCCCCAAGUGCUCUGACUUCAUCAUGGUACCCUAGAGCUUAAGCUGCUCAGUGGAAGACUCAGCUCUCCCAAUUUCCUCCAUAGGGGGCUGCUGACUGUUACAUAGCCAGGCAAGGGGUUGCCCUGAAGAGAAGGAGUGUUACCUAGGCCUUGUCCUUUAGCUGCGCCCCCACCGUCUA